rnacentral:rRNA from 1 species
AGAGUUUGAUCCUGGCUCAGGAUGAACGCUAGCUACAGGCUUAACACAUGCAAGUCGAGGGGAAACGACAUCGAAAGCUUGCUUUUGAUGGGCGUCGACCGGCGCACGGGUGAGUAACGCGUAUCCAACCUGCCCACCACUUGGGGAUAACCUUGCGAAAGUAAGACUAAUACCCAAUGACGUCUCUAGAAGACAUCUGAAGGAGAUUAAAGAUUUAUCGGUGAUGGAUGGGGAUGCGUCUGAUUAGCUUGUUGGCGGGGUAACGGCCACCAAGGCGACGAUCAGUAGGGGCUCUGAGAGGAAGGUCCCCCANAUUGGAACUGAGACACGGUCCAAACUCUACGGAGGCA